GAUGAACGCUGGCGGCGUGCCUAAUACAUGCAAGUCGAGCGAACAGACGAGGAGCUUGCUCCUCUGACGUUAGCGGCGGACGGGUGAGUAACACGUGGAUAACCUACCUAUAAGACUGGGAUAACUUCGGGAAACCGGAGCUAAUACCGGAUAAUAUAUUGAACCGCAUGGUUCAAUAGUGAAAGACGGUUUUGCUGUCACUUAUAGAUGGAUCCGCGCCGCAUUAGCUAGUUGGUAAGGUAACGGCUUACCAAGGCAACGAUGCGUAGCCGACCUGAGAGGGUGAUCGGCCACACUGGAACUGAGACACGGUCCAGACUCCUACGGGAGGCAGCAGUAGGGAAUCUUCCGCAAUGGGCGAAAGCCUGACGGAGCAACGCCGCGUGAGUGAUGAAGGUCUUCGGAUCGUAAAACUCUGUUAUUAGGGAAGAACAAAUGUGUAAGUAACUAUGCACGUCUUGACGGUACCCAAUCAGAAAGCCACGGCUAACUACGUG
rnacentral:rRNA from 1 species